rnacentral:lncRNA from 1 species
GUAAUAGUGAACACAAGGGAGGGUACAUCCUUUGUGGUUUGCUUCAAGGGUACAUCUACUUGGUUGUUCAAAGAGAACAAGGGAGGGUACAUCCCUUGUGGAUCUUUGCUUGUAAAGGAUUUUACAAAGUUAUUGAAAAUCUCAAGAAUCGUGGGUUGCUUGGAGAUUGGAUGCAGGCACGGGUUGUGGCCGAACCAAUAUAAAUCUUGUGCUUGCUUUCUUCUUCCCUACACGUUUUACUUUUCCGCUGUGC